ACGCAUGAAGCUGCCACGACUGAUUCAAAUGAGGAGCGGCUGCCUCCAGUUCUGACUCCUCAAUGGCCUUUUCAGCUUAAGCAUGAGUACACAGCUAAGCAAG